rnacentral:rRNA from 1 species
GAUGAACGCUGGCGGCGUGCCUAAUACAUGCAAGUCGAGCGAACGGACGAGAAGCUUGCUUCUCUGAUGUUAGCGGCGGACGGGUGAGUAACACGUGGAUAACCUACCUAUAAGACUGGGAUAACUUCGGGAAACCGUAGCUAAUACCGGAUAAUAUUUUGAACCGCAUGGUUCAAAAGUGAAAGACGGUCUUGCUGUCACUUAUAGAUGGAUCCGCGCUGCAUUAGCUAGUUGGUAAGGUAACGGCUUACCAAGGCAACGAUGCAUAGCCGACCUGAGAGGGUGAUCGGCCACACUGGAACUGAGACACGGUCCAGACUCCUACGGGAGGCAGCAGUAGGGAAACUUCCGCAAUGGGCGAAAGCCUGACGGAGCAACGCCGCGUGAGUGAUGAAGGUCUUCGGAUCGUAAAACUCUGUUAUUAGGGAAGAACAUAUGUGUAAGUAACUGUGCACAUCUUGACGGUACCUAAUCAGAAAGCCACGGCUAACUACGUG